rnacentral:lncRNA from 1 species
UAAUUUCUAACUAGGUGGUGGCCACUGCACAAACUAGAUUCUGCUCACUCUGGGCCUCACUCCACUUCCUCUGUGACAGAUCAUAUGACACAUGAUAUGUCAAGACAUAUCAUGUCUGACAAACCUGAUAUGGCUGAGAUCAAGAAAUUUGAUGUCAAAAAUAGAAGAAGACAGAAUUGCAAGAGAAAAAUCCACUGCCUUCCGAAGAAACAAUAGAACAGGAGAAGCAGGCAGACAAAUCUUACGGAGGCAUGCGCCGCCAAUAUGCACUGUACAUUCAACGAGAAUUGCCUUCUUAUUUUACUUAUUUUAGCUGUUAAUUUUGUAAGAUGCAAAGAGGUUGGAUCAACUUUUAAAGGACUUUGCUGCCCUUUUCACAUCAAACAAUAGAAAACUGCUGACGAUGAAGGCCACACCUACCUCUCCCAUCUGCUUGUCUGGCUGUCAAGGAAGGAAAAUAACUUGCAUGUUGGUGAAGGAAGAAGAAGAGUAGGAAGACAGGAGAACUGGGAGUCUGAGAAAUCCAAGAAUAACCCAGCUGCCUAUGAAAAUGGCAAAUGAGCAACUCAUCUGGAUGACUCAUUUGGUUCCCGGUCUCUGAAAGACCCUUCUCUGGGAUAGGAGUCUUCAUUGUAGUGUCUUCAAGACACGAUAAAUUUAUGGACUGCACUGUUGUGGUUUUUUUUUAAGUGAAUGCACCUGCUUUUUAUGUUAUCAAAUUAGGCUUCACAAACGUAGUAUCUUCCAAUUUGAUAUUUGACAAUGACGAGAAUGCAGUUAAAUGAAUGGAGUAGAUGGGCAACAAAAGUCCUCAGUAAUAUUCUGCAUGGUAUAACCCAGCAUGGACUCAGAGCACUGCAGAACACAGAACAUCAGGCUCGAUGGCUCACGCCUGUAAUCCCAGCACUUUGGGAGGCUGAGGCGGGCAGACUGCUUAAGUCCAGGAGUUCGAGACCAGCCUGUGCCACAUGGUGAAACCCUUUCUCUACUGAAAAUACAAAAAAAUAGCUGGGCAUGGUGAUGCAUGCCUGUAGUCCCAGCUACUUGGGAGGCUGAGGUGGGAGGACUGCUUGAGCCUGAGAGACGGAGGUUGCAGUGAGCUGAGAUGGAGCCACUGCACUCCAGCCUGGGUAACAGAGUAACAGAGAGGCCUUGUCUUAAAAUGCACACACACACACACACACACACACACACACACACACACACACACACACGACAUUAUGGAUUCUGAAAACUAAAACACUGAAGGAAGCAAAUAUAUCCCAUGUAACUGUUUUGCACAAGGGUAUUGGCAGCAUAACCAUAAUGAAGUCUGGGAGUGGAGUAAUUGGCAAAAGAUUAGCUGAUUUAAUUUUGACUUUACUAAUUUUAACCAACUGUGAUUCCCUCCUAUGAUCCUAACUAAUAAAUUAAUGUAGUUUUAUGUUACAUAUUUUUUACAGUAGGAUUGAAAUAUGUAAAUAUUAGACUCAUUUAUGUGCUGCAGAAUCAUUUGGUUUACAUGAGUAAUUGAUUCAGUAAGAGAAUUUUUCAAAAUAGGUUUCCAAUUUAAAGUAUCACCUUUGACGAACACACAUCAGGAAAUAUAUAUGCUACUUAAAGUAAAAUUAACUUGCAUUGAGAUUGUCUUAUUCAAAUUUUACUCUCUCAGAGCUCUGUAGACUUUUUUGUGGCUCCGAUCACAGUUUAAAUUGUACAUUUAUUUUUAUGAUCAUUUAGUUAAUGUCUGUCUUCAUCACUCAGCUGUGGAUCUACGAGUGCUGUUU